AGUGAACGCUGGCGGUAGGCCUAACACAUGCAAGUCGAACGGCAGCACAGUAAGAGCUUGCUCUUACGGGUGGCGAGUGGCGGACGGGUGAGGAAUACAUCGGAAUCUACUUUUUCGUGGGGGAUAACGUAGGGAAACUUACGCUAAUACCGCAUACGACCUACGGGUGAAAGCAGGGGAUCUUCGGACCUUGCGCGAUUGAAUGAGCCGAUGUCGGAUUAGCUAGUUGGCGGGGUAAAGGCCCACCAAGGCGACGAUCCGUAGCUGGUCUGAGAGGAUGAUCAGCCACACUGGAACUGAGACACGGUCCAGACUCCUACGGGAGGGAGCAGUGGGGAAUAUUGGACAAUGGGCGCAAGCCUGAUCCAGCCAUACCGCGUGGGUGAAGAAGGCCUUCGGGUUGUAAAGCCCUUUUUUUGGGAAAGAAAAGCAGCAGGUUAAUACCCCGCUGUUCUGACGGUACCCAAAGAAUAAGCACCGGCUAACUUCGUG
rnacentral:rRNA from 1 species